rnacentral:rRNA from 1 species
GAGUUUGAUCUUGGCUCAGAUUGAACGCUGGCGGCAUGCCUUACACAUGCAAGUCGAACGGCAGCACGGGAGCUUGCUCCUGGUGGCGAGUGGCGAACGGGUGAGUAAUGCAUCGGAACGUAUCCUGGAGUGGGGGAUAACGUAGCGAAAGUUACGCUAAUACCGCAUAUUCUGUGAGCAGGAAAGCGGGGGACCUUCGGGCCUCGCGCUCUUGGAGCGGCCGAUGUCGGAUUAGCUAGUUGGUGAGGUAAAGGCGUCACCAAGGCGACGAUCCGUAGCAGGGUCUGAGAGGAUGAUCUGCCACACUGGAACUGAGACACGGUCCAGACUCCUACGGGAGGCAGCAGUGGGAAUUUUGGACAAUGGGGGCAACCCUGAUCCAGCCAUGCCGCGUGAGUGAAGAAGGCCUGG